UACGGAGGGUGCGAGCGUUGUCCGGAAUCACUGGGCGUAAAGGGCGCGUAGACGGCUGGGGAAGUCGGCGGUGAAAGCCCGGAGCUCAACUCCGGGUCGGCCGUCGAGACUCCUCGGCUCGAGCUCACUAGAGGCAGAUGGAAUUCUGGGUGUAGCGGUGGAAUGCGUAGAGAUCCGGAAGAACACCGGUGGCGAAGGCGGUCUGCUGGGGUGAGGCUGACGCUGAUGCGCGACAGCGUGGGGAGCAAACAGG
rnacentral:rRNA from 1 species